rnacentral:lncRNA from 1 species
UCCAUUUAUACAGUCCUUUUACAGAUCAAAAUACAAACCAGAUCAGCCCAUUAACCCAAUACCCAAGCCCAAGUCAAAAUCCUAUCCCAACUAUCUUAAAAAUUUUCAACAAUUCAAACCCUAGCUCCACAAGCCUUGCGCCGCUGCCUCCAUGUGCUGGCCUCAGGGUGCACAACACCCGAAACAGGUGUCCCAUACCAUCGCCCAUACCUUCUGCCCUCCACGCCUCUGACCACACCUGCAAAAGAAAAGACAAACAAGGAGCAGAAAACCGAAACAAGACACGAACAGUGGUAGAGACAAAGAAAAACAAUAUUUUUCUACUAUUGUAAUCGGCUAUAAAGCCAAGAAGAAGUCAAAACGAAGGGGGGACGGAUUGUAAAAAAAAAAAUUUUCUUACAAAAAGAAGGAAUGUGACACAGAUAUUAGGAAUCACAACGCAUACAAGCAAAUCAAAAAGUUUGGAAACUAAAAGGUGUUCUUGGUUCUUUUGAUUUUUUUUAUUUUAAUUAUUUUUUUUCUUUUGUAUUUUUUUUAUCUUCUCGAAUCUGUUUAAGAAAAAAAACUAAAAGGAAGGAAUGGCUCACCUGAAUCCCUUCAAGCUCGCCAUCGGGGUGAUUUCUCCGUCAUUGUAAUCGAGUUCGACAAAGGGACAAAGAACUCAUUUUUUCCUUCGUUCUUGGGUGGCUGAAGGUUUAGUCUUCAAAGGAAGCUUUGAAGAUAGAGCUCAAAAGCUCGUCCUCCGCAACGCCGGUCACCAGCCAUGGCUGCGUGUAGGUGAGCAUGAAAUGGCCUUGUCGGCUGAAAAGAAGGAGAAGAGAUAGAGGAGUCUGAAAGUGUUAGGUUUAGAAAAUAAAAUAAAAAAGGAAAUAAAGGCAUAGAUGGUUUCAAAAUAAAAGUAUGAUUUAAAUAAUAAAACUAAAACAAUGCCGUUUGGGUAAAGGAAAAGAGCUUAUGCGCCUAAAAUGGGUUAUUUAUGUGGCCAAUCCCUCUCUUUUGCGCUGCUAUUGGAUUAGGCCCCUGUUCUUCUUUUUAUUGUUUUUAAUAUGGCCGCAUAAUUUUCUCCCAAUUACAUUUGAGUCCCUGCUGAAAUAAUGCACAUAAAGGCUGGGAUUAUUUCCCUUUUAGUCCCUCCAUGUUAUUCGCGUGUUCUAAUAGGUCCUCCCCUCUCCCUUUUUGUUUCGAAUCUAUCCCCUAACUCUUGUUUUAAAUUCAAUUUGGUCCCAUUUCCUUUUUUAUUCUAUUAUUUUCGCCCCGAAUUUCUGUUUAAAGUUCAAAUUAGCCCUUUUGGCUACCUUUGUUAUCUUAUAAAUUAAUAUUAUUGUUACUUUAUAAUCACAUUUUGUAUGCUUAUUUUCGCUAUUAUUAUUAUAUUAGCUUUCAUUCUUUAUUAUUAUGGUUGUUGCUAUUUCUCUUGAUUAUUUUGUUAUCAUUUAUGUUAUUAUUAAUAUUCAUUGGUUUAUCGUCAUCAUUAUCUUAUCACUUUAUUAUUGUCAUUAUCAAUAUGCUAUCAUUAUUCUCAUCAAUGUAUUGUCAUCAUUAGUUUCUAUUUUAUUAUUAUUAUAUGCUAUCAUUAUUCUCAUUAAUGUAUUGUCAUUAUUAGUCUCUAUUUUAUUAUUAUUAUAUUAUUACUAUUGCUAUCAUCAUAUUAUUGAACUAGGUAACUUUAUAUUGGUUUUGUUAUAUUGUAUUUUUUUGGCAUUUAUUUAUAUUAUUAUUACCAUUAUUAUUAUCAUAUAUUUUAUAUUAUUUUAUUUUACAUAUGUUAUUUCUUUUAAACUAUUAUACAUAUUGUUUAUUUUGAAACUUUUAUAUACAUUUUUGUAUUUUAAAUUAUUAUGUAUAUUAUUUACUUUAAUAUUAUAUAUAUUAUUUAUUUUAGACCUUUUUAUAUUAUUUUAAAUUGUCAUAUGUUAUUCAUUUCAAAUCGCUUUAUUUUACCUUAAAUUGUUUUGUAUGUUAAUAAUUUUAAAUUAUUUUAUACUACUUACUUAAAAUUAUGUCUUUAUAAUAUCUAUUUUGAACUUAUUUUUAUAUAUUACUUAGUCAAAAUUGUUUAAUCAUUUAUUUCAAAUUGUUUUAUAUUAUUUCAUUCUUUUGAUUAUUAGUGUUGUCUUUUAAAUGAUGUAUGCCGAGAAAUUAUUGCCAUUACGUGUUCUUUAAUUUGUUUAUUCAUGUUCACAUUAUUGUCAUUCCCUAGUAAUAUUCCUAUUCAUAUAUUAUCAUCCUAUGCCCAUUAUUAUAUUUCUAUUUCAUAGCAUCUGUAACACCCCAAUCCCGUAUCCGUCGCCGGAAUAGAUAAAGGGGCAUUACCAGUCUUGAAACUCAUAUCAGAACAGUAAAUUUUUUUUUUUUGAACAUUCCUUUAGAUAAGUACUAAAGAUAGUCAGGGAUACAAUUUAAACUUCUAUAAGUACACAUUCAAAAGAUGCCAUUUUCGCAUGGCUUAUAUACAUUAACCAAAAUAUCCUCUCACUACUAGUCUAUUCUAUACAUGCCAUAAGAUAAUCCAAAACGUAGCAGUACCAAACAGUGGAUAGUGAUAGUGUGACUAGUUGCUGAUGAUCCCCGAGCCUGUAGCUUCCAAAUGAGAUCUAUAAAACAGAGGAAACAAAGAACACGGAGUAAGCAUUAUAAUGCUUAGUAAGUUUUAAGCAGUGUCAACAGAUAACAAUCAAAUUAUAACAUAGUUGUUCGUAUUUUUAUUUCACUCUUCCUUCGGGCAUACCAUCCCUUUACCGAAUAUGCACAUCUCAUCAUAUAUAAUAGGCAGAUAAAUCCUCACUUGAUAGUGACCUCUUAUGAUCAUAGGUACAUUACAUAUUUUUUUUUCCUGACUUUCCACAUUGACCAAAUGCACAAUAAUCAUAGAACAGUCUUAUUGCUUUACUCCCAUGUGCAUCACAUAACGACCUUGUGGUUUAGUCUAAAUCAAACUUAAAUAUAAUCUCAAAAUACAUACCUGACCAACUUAACGCAUUGAACGUAUUUAUUACCAAUUGUUACUGUGAAGUUGUAUAAUCUUACGCUUUACUUGAAUCUUCAGCAAAACCUUUAGUUCGGGGCUUACCUGGACAAAAUCUCCACACGUAGUCAUCGGGUCUUUAGAGCUCGGAUAUAGUACGAGCACGAAGCCUACGGACAUUAAUCAGUGAUAAUAUUCUCGCAUAAAGCCUACGGGGUUUUAACCCAGAUAUAGUACUGACACAAAUGCCCUUCGAGACUUAUCACAUUUAUACACUUUCACAUCCAUCACGUUGGCCACUCGGCCCUAUCACAUAUAUACACUUUCACAUUCAUCACAUUGGCCAUUCGGCCUUAUCACAUAUAUACACUUUCACAUUCAUCACAUCGGCCAUUAGGCCUUAUCAUAUAUAUACACUUUCACAUUCGUCACAUCGGCCAUUAGGCCUUAUCACAUAUAUACACUUUCACAUUCGUCACAUCGGCCAUUAGGCCUUAUCACAUAUAUACACUUUCACAUUCGUCACAUCGGCCAUUAGGCCUUAUCACAUAUAUACACUUCCACAUUCAUCACAUCGGCCAUUAGGCCUUAUCACAUAUAUACACUUUCACAUUCAUCACAUCGGCUAUUAGGCCUUAUCACAUAUAUACACUUUCACAUUCAUCACAUCAGCCAUUAGGCCUUAUCACAUAUAUACACUUUCACAUUUAUUCAACUAUACUUCACAUACCACAUAUACUAUCAUGUACAGACUUGGUCUUGGCCGAAUCUACAUCCAUCACUUUCCAAUGAAUAAUUCAAUUUUAUGCCAUACUAUCAUUUCAUAUUCGAAUACUCAUAAACUUACAAUAUCACGAUUUAGAAUUCAAGUAUGGGUUUAAUCAAUAGCUUAUGAGCAACUAAAACAAGUUUUAUCCAUGUUUACAACAAAAUCACAUAUUCACUACGAGCUGUUUUCCUGAGAAAUGGUCACUAAAUUAUUUAUAAUCGGAGCUAGAAGACUCCAAAUCACUUUCCGUUAAUUUUCCCUGAAUAUAGACUCAUAUAUCUUUCAUCCAUAAAUUUUUCAGAAUUUUAGGUUUGGCCAAUCAAUACCAGAUUUUUCUUAAAGUUUCCCCUGUUUCACUGUUUGACUAAUCUGACCAGUCUUCACUACGAAUCAAAAUUCUCAUUGUACAGAAUUCAAAGUAUGUUCUAUUUGAUUUAAUUUGAAACUAGACUCAUUAAGGAGUCUAAGCAUAUAAAUUUUAUCUUGUAACCAUUUUUGUACAAAUUAUAGUGAUUUUCUUAAUACAGAAUAGGGGAUUUCGGUGUCAUUCUGACACCGUCUCACACAACUUUAAAUAUCUAUUUAUAGGAAAUUCCUUUGCUUACACGGUCUCUUUUAUAAGAAACUAGACUAAUUAAGCUUUGAUUGUAUAUUUUAUUCAGCCUAUAAUUCCACACCAAACAUUUAUAGUGAUUUUCUAAAAUCACGUUACUGCUGCUGUCCUGAGCAGAUUAUUACAAUUUGCUCUUAAAUUUCCAAGUCCAAACACUUAGGAACUUACCAUUUGAGUUUAAGACAUAUCAUGGCCACAUCAUAUCUCAUUAAAUCAACUCAUUAUAUCCUAUUAUAGUUGAAUUUACUCAACAUUUAGUCACUUAAAACUUACCUCGGAUGUGGUCGAACAAUUUCGGCUUUGAUAUUAAAUAGUGGUCCAUUACCGUCCACUUACCUUUGAUACCAACAAGGCAAGGAUGUAUGGCUUCCCCUUUUUUUAUUUUAAAAUUUAAACCAUUAACUAUUAUAAUAUAAUAUAUAAUGCAUAUAUGGCUAUUCAACCAUCAUCAUGGCCGGCCACUUACAUAAAAAUGGGGAAUUUGACAUGCAAAUCCCCAUAUUUUAAGCCAUGCAAUAUUUGACCACUACACUUCAACCUACCACAAUUUUAAUAUUUUUCACAUAAGUCCUUUUUAACUAAAUUCACAUAAAAAUAAUCAAAUUAAUGCAUGAAACUUUCACACAUGCAUUUACUCACAUUAUAAACAUGGAAUAUAUCUUUUAAUUUCUUAUAGGGCUCGGUUUCGUGGUCCCGAAACCACUUUCCGACUAAGGUCAGUUUAGGGCUGUCACAGCAUCGUAUCGUAUAUUAAGCCCCAAUACAUUCUUUCAAUUUAGAUUACUUUAUUUUAUUUCAAACAAAAAAAAACCCCAUUUUAAUCUUCACUUUCAAAACCAAAGUCAAUCCCGUUUUCAAAAAAUGGUUAUGACACUAUCUUGUAUGUUAUGUUUUAUCAUGUUAACGCGCUCCUUCAUGCAUCGGUUUUAAAAAUGAGACUUCAAGGAUUUGAAAAAAUAUAAAGGCAAUGCUUGGUGUUUGAAAAUCUUGAGAAAGUAGUGCCCUAACUUAUUGGGUUGCCACUUUUCUCAUUGAAUUCAAAUAAUUAAGUACCCUUCUGAGUUUUUUUAAAGGUUUUCUUAAUGCAAGCCACUAUCUUGGAAUUUCAAAGCAAUAUGUCCUAACUUAUUGGAUAUAGCGUUUUGCUGUCCCGAAAUAGGAAUUUCAAAAAAAGGUUAACUUAAUGUCAAUACCUUGACGCGAGCGAAUCCCAAUUUUCAAAUUUAAAAUAUUUUAAUGAGUACUACAUCUUAAAAUUUUUUUUCUUUUUUUCCGACAUUCAAGACAUUUGAUAAUCAAUUAAGUACCAAUUUUUGGGUGUUACGAGGGUGCUAAUCCUUCCUCGUACGUAACCGACUCCCGAACCCGUUCUUUUUAUUUCGUGGACCAAAACUAAUGAUUUUAAAACAAAAUGUUUUAAAGGUGAUCCGAUCACACCUAAAAAUAUUGGUGGCGACUCCCGUUUUUGUUUUUUAAAAUCGAUUCCCACUUUCCAAAACACGGAUUGAAAAAGGUUUCGACAGCUUGGCGACUCCGUUGGGGACUAAUAAGAGAGUCAGGCCAUGUAAUUGAUUAUCUCUUGUCUUAAUGUCGGAAAUUAAAAAUUUUAAAAUUUAAUCCUCUUUGUAUUACAUGUGUUUGUAUUAUUGCAUGCUAUAUUCUGAUCGCAUUGCAUUUGCAUGACCGUUGUGGUCACACCCUUAAGUGGCAGUGAGAAACUACGCCUUCGUGAGGUUUUCGCCUCCGUUCAGGAUAGUGGAUCACUUUCGGGAUACAUCCGUACCUAUGGUUUCGUGAGAUUUUCAUCUCCGUGUAGCCAUAGGGAAAUGUAUUCCCCUGAACUAAACUCGAUUCAAAUGAGCCUAUAAUGGGUGAGGAUCGAGGAAUCUGCUGGUUCGGGUACCUCAAACUUUAGAACCAACCCCAUGUCGAAGGACCGUAUAAGCCCAACUUAGACAUUACCCUUAUAAGUUAUCGUUGAAAUUUAUUGAUAUCAUGUGAUACUGACAAUCUCUUUUCUUUUGCUUGCAUGUCAUUUUGCAUUUACAAAGAUAUCGGUUCACGGUCAGUUUCUAAGUUAGGAAGUUUUAUUAUGGAGAACGGACUUCUUGAUAAAGUGGAAGGCAACGUUAACGUCCACAGAUGGUCCGAGCAAACUCAACUAGAAAAGGGAGAUAGUAUAGCUGAGGGAUACAUAUCGGAGUUGUCAGAUUACAAUCAUAUUAGCGUCACGCAGAAUAAUCUCCAGGAGCUUAAGGCAAUUUGGGAUCAGUGGGGCAAAGAGACUAAGCAAUUAUUCUACGGUAAUUAUGGAGACUUAGCUUACUUGCUUGAUGUUCAGAUAGACGAGCACUUAUUCCGAGCCCUUGCUCAGUUUUGGAACCCGACGUACAGUUACUUCACUUUUGGGGAAGUAGACAUGGUACCUACUGUGGAAGAGUACACUGCUUUACUUCGUUGUCCCCGGUUUCAGAAUGAUAGGAUCUAUUCCCGAGCUCCUUGUGUCCCUACCUUUUGGAAGAAAUUGAUGAUUAUUACGGGGAUGAGCGAGUAGUGGGCCACAGCCCAAAUUAAAGAAAAGGGUGAGUGCAAGUGCAUUUCGUGGGAUGCUUUAAAAGAUUUGAUUCUGACACACCCUGAUGAGACAAAGAAGGUAGAUGUUUUUGCCUUAAGUUUAUAUGGAUUGAUGGUUUUCCCUAGGGUUUUCCCAAGAACAGGUUAGAAAAAGGGAUCAUGUCAUUGCUGAAGCCAUAGCCCAGAUUCGAGAUGUUGCUGAGUAUGUGCAAGACUUGGCAAUUCGAGCUGGCAUUUUGAGUCUGAUGUAUUCAUCAUCGUCAGAUGUAGGACGAGAGUUAGCCCUUUUAUUAGAUAGAGUUAAAGCUUUGGGCGAAAGCGUAUUUGUAAUCCUCCUAUAUGUAAAGAUAUUCUUUUUCUAAAUAAAAUUUUCUAAAUGAAGUUGAACCAGAAUCGAUAUUCUUUUUUGCAUUCAUGCAUUUGCAUCUCAUAACAUGCCAUCACAUCAUUUGCAUUCAAAGUUAUAGAAAGACCCUGAUUAAUUAAAGUUUACUUUCCAAAGGUAGAAAAGAAAACCUGGAAAUCACACAUCCUUACGGCACUCGUACUAAAACUAAGAACAUGGAUCAAAGGUUCGAGCAAUUACAAAAAGACAUGCAAGAUCAAAUGCAAGAGCAGUUGGCCAAAAUGCAGAAUGAAAUGAGGGAGCAGAUGCAAGAGGCUCAGAGAAAUAUGAUGGCUGAAAUGGCUCAGCUGCUGAGAGCCAUUGAUAAAGGAAAAGCUCCUAUGGCGAUCACUGAAGAAGAGAAUGAGGUCCUCCUCCAGGUUUUACCCCGCCUCAUGUGCCCCUGCAAACCGAGGCACCUCCUAGAAGGCCAUCUGUCACAGUGAGGCCUCAACAUGGGCCAGUGGAUGCUGGAAUCCCCAUAAAUUUCCCAUCUGGGUUGGGAAAUAAUUUGGGUGAUAGCUCGGUCAACCCUAUUAUUCCUAAUUUGGAUUUAAUGGAGAAGGAAAGAAUGGCCACUGAAUCCUCGAAACAAUUAGAGGAUCGUUGCAGGUGGUUAGAGGAGAAGUUUAGGGUUUUAGAAGGUGCUGGAAAUCAUCAUGGGAUCGAUGCCAAAGACUUAAGUUUGGUUCCAAAAUUGGUGCUUCCUCAUAAAUUUAAGAUGCCAGAGUUUGAAAAGUACAACGGGACUACUUGCCCAGAGGCGCACAUAACAAUGUUUUGUAGAAGGAUGACUGGCUAUGUGAACAACGAUCAACUAUUGAUCCAUUAUUUUCAGGACAGCCUAACAGGAGCGGCAGCUAGGUGGUACAAUCAGUUGAUCUGUGCAAGGAUCGAUUCAUGGAGAGAUCUUGCACAGGCUUUCAUGGAACAGUAUAACCAUGUGACUGAUAUGACGCCAGAUAGGAUCACACUUCAAAACAUGGAGAAAAAAUCUAAUGAAAGUUUUAGGCAAUAUGCACAACGAUGGAGGGAGGUGGCAAUGCAAGUACAACCACCAUUGUUGGAAAAGGAAACUACCAUGUUAUUUAUUAAUACUUUGAAGGCGCCAUUCUUCACACAUAUGAUUGGAAGUACCACGAAAAGUUUCUCAGAUAUAGUUAUGGCGGGUGAGAUGAUUGAGAAUACCGUGAGAGGCGGUAAAAUCGAGGGGGAAGUGGCUAAAAGAUCGACCCUAAGGGGAAAAGACAAUGAGGAAAAUAACAUGAACAGCUUCAAUUCCAGGGCAAUCACAGUUGAACAACCUAAAGCAGCUACGGGUGAGCAACAAAGUACUCAAAGACAGGAAUCGGGUACAAGAUAGAAUUCAGAGAGGAUGCAAUUCACUCAUAUCCCGGUGACAUAUCGUAAGCUUUAUCAAAGCUUAUACGAUGCACGUGCCAUUGCUCCGUUUCACUUGAAACCGCUACAGCCACCAUGCCCCAAAUGGUAUAAUGCAAAUGCUAAAUGUGAAUAUCAUGCGGGAAUAUCAGGGCAUUCAAUUGAAAACUGCACUGGGUUCAAGAAGGUCGUGGAGAGGCUCAUAAAAAUGGGGGUUGUGAAAUUUGAUAGUACCCCUAAUACUGAAAGCCCGUUACUGGAUCAUGGCAAUCAAGGAGUGAAUGCCAUUGAUGAAACAAAGAAAAGAAAAAUCAAGGAAGACAUUACUGAGUUGAAGACACCUAUGAAGGUAAUAUGGGAGGAGAUGGUGAAGAGAGGUAUGCUGACUUCUAGAAAAGGAGGAGAAGAAAUAGAGAACCAUUGUGAGUUCCAUGGGGAGGGGGGUCAUAUGAUCCAAAAUUGUGAAGAGUUCAAGGUCAUGGUACAAGGCCUUAUAGUUAACAAAGAGUUGCAGGUUUCUGAAGGUAAUUCUUAUGAAGGACAAAUAUGUGUGCUGGAGAAUGAAUGACAAAGAACCAACCAACCGAGAAUUAUUAUUUCCUUGCUAGGGAAUAAUGAGGAGGGGUCGCAAACUAGGCCCAAAAUAGUCAUCCAUAAACCCAAUCCUUUCCCUUAUAAGGAUGAUAGGAGGGUGCCAUGGAGCUAUGAUUGCAAUAUAACAAUACCUGAAGGGGAGAGCAUAGCUAGCGCGUCCAGGGGCACGCAAAAUGAAGGUUCUCAUACACGAAGUGGGAAACGUUAUGACGGUGGGAAUAUCAGAGUAGAGACCGCAAAGACGAAAGAUGUCAAGGCUGAAAGGGAAAAGGAAACUGAAGUACUCAUCAAUGAGCCGGUAAAGGAGGAAGAGGCUAAGGAGUUUCUAAAAUUCCUGAAACAUAGUGAGUAUAGAGUGGUCGAGCAGUUGCACAAGCAGCCAGCGCGUAUAUCAGUGUUAGCCCUACUCUUGAGUUCUGAGGUGCAUCGAGAUGUGUUGUUAAAGGUGCUUAACGAAGCAUAUGUUACCCAUGACAUAUCCGUUAACAAGCUAGACCGGUUAGUAAACAACAUUAGUGCUGACAAUUUUAUUUAUUUUAAUGAUGAUGAAAUUCCACCUGGGGGCAUAGGGUCAACCAAGGCCCUACACAUCACUACUCGGUGCAAAGGAUACACACUUCUAAGUGUACUCGUGGAUAAUGGGUCUGCUUUGAAUGUCCUGCCGCUAUCCACCCUGAACAGAUUGCCCAUUGACAGUUCACAUAUGAAAACGUGUCAUAAUGUGGUAAGAGCCUUUGAUGGAACUGAAAGAAAAGUAAUGGGACGAAUUGACAUCUCUCUGGAGAUUGGGCAGAAUACGUAUGAAGUUGAUUUCCUAGUAAUGGAUAUCAAGCCCUCCUACAAUUGUUUAUUGGGGAGACCAUGGAUACACUCGGCAAGAGCGGUGCCCUCUUCAUUGCACCAAAAAUUAAAGUUAGCGACAGAUGGUCGCUUAAUAACCAUCAAUACGGAAGAGGACAUCAUAGCGGCAGUUACCAACAGAGUCCCUAAUGUUGAGGCAAAUGAAGAGGCUAUUGAAUGUUCUUUCCGCUCUUUAGAGGUCAUUAAUGCCACCUUUAUUUUGGAAGGAAGUGAAGUGCCGAUACCCAAAAUAUCUAGAGCCACAAAGAUAGCCCUACAAAUGAUGAUAGGGAAAGGAGCAUUACCGGGAAAAAGGCUAGGAAGACAAUUGCAAGGAGGGGUUCAAAUCCCAAAACUGAUUGAGAAGAAGGACCACUUUGGCUUGGGCUUCAAGCCAGACCACAAGCACAAGAGGCAGGAAAUAGAGAAGCACUAAGCGAGAAGAAAGGCGCGUUUGAAUGGAAGAGAAGUGGAGUGGGAACCGAUGACAUUCCCACCUAUAUCCAAAUCCUUCAAAUCAGGAGGACUGCUGAUAAAAGAAAGUCAUCAAGUUAAUGCUGUGCACAAUGAAGGAUCGGAGUAAGGAAGCCUCGAGGGCAUUCGCCCUUACGAACCGGGGAGUUCUCUGAAUAAUUGGACUGCGGAAGACCUUCCUGUAGUCUUUAAGAAUUUUUCAGAGUAAUUCUCAAAACAUGUCUGUUACUCUCGGGCCUAGGAGUAGUAAGAUUAUAUUCAUGAAAUAGGCUUAUGUUCAUCUAUAAUUAUUUAAAUAAAACAUAACUUUUUAUCAAUUCAAACGAGUAUUGUUCUAUUUUUAUCGACCAAUAUUCCUUCAAAUUCUAGCAAUUCUUAUUCUUUUAUUCAUAGCACAUAAACAAUCAUUCUUCGAUUAAUUCAUUCUUUGUAUAUUCUUUCAUACCCCCACAGGUCCCUAGAUAUCAAUGAUAUGAGCGCUGAUACUACAGCUCCUAAUUUCUCUAGCGAGCAAGACAUGGGUUUAGAGGAACCUCAGGAUUUUGAAGAUGUUCAAUAUUGUGAUGUAUCUCUCGAUCUGUUAAGAAUGGUUAAGCAGGAGGAGAAGCAAAUCAUGCCAUAUGAGAAAGAGACAAUAGAGAAUGUAGCCCUAGAGGAAGGGAAGGAGUUGAAAAUUGGAACACUAGUUGGCGUGGACACAAGGCAUGGUCUGGUUCAGUUGCUUCGAGAGUUUAAAUAUAUCUUUGCCUGGUCAUAUCAGGAUAUGCCUGGAUUGAGUACUGACAUUGUGGUACAUCGUCUUUCAAUAAGACAAGAUUGUAAGCCAGUCCAACAGAAGUUGCGAAAAAUGAGGCCAGAUAUCGUUUUGAAAAUAAAGGACGAAAUCAAGAAGCAGUUUGAUGCAGGAUUCUUGCAAAAAGUGAAGUACUCCGAAUGGGUAGCUAACAUUGUACCUGUUCCCAAGAAGGAUGGGAAAGUACGAAUGUGUGUUGAUUACAGAGACUUGAAUAAAGCAAGCUCAAAGGAUAAUUUUCCUUUACCCCACAUUGACACUUUAAUAAAUAACACAGCGGGAUAUUCAUUGUUCUCCUUUAUGGAUGGUUUCUCAAGAUACAACCAGAUAAAGAUGCAUCCAGAGGACAUGGAUAAAACCAUCUUUAUAACCUUGUGGGGCACCUUUUGCUAUAAAGUAAUGCCAUUUGGACUAAAAAACGCAGGGGCUACGUACCAAAGGGCCAUGGUGAACUUGUUCCACAACAUGAUGCAUAAGGAUAUUGAGGUAUACGUUGAUGAUAUGAUUGCCAAGUCGCAUACGAAAAAAGAGCAUAUUGAGGUCUUGAGAAGAUUGUUUGUAAGGUUGAGAAAAUUUUAGUUGAAACUUAAUCCAGCAAAGUGUACCUUUGGAGCCAGAUCCAGAAAGUUGUUAGGCUUCGUAGUCAGUGAAAUAGGAAUUAAAGUCGACUCUGACAAGGUCAGAGCCAUACGAGAAUUACCUCCACCACGUACUUAAAAAGAAGUUCGAGGAUUCCUAGGAAGGUUGAAUUACAUUGCUCGGUUCAUUUCACAACUAACUGAGAAAUGUGAUCCUAUCUUUCGCCUCCUUAGAAAGCACAAUCAAGGUAUUUGGGAUGGGGAAUGCUAGAAUACUUUUGAAAAGGUCAAGUAGUAUUUGUUGAAUGCUCCGGUAUUGUCUCCACCCAGCCCAGAUAAACCAUUAAUACUGUACUUAUCAGUGUUCAGUAAUUCUAUGGGAUGUGUGCUUGGUCAGCAUGAUGAGUCAGGAAAAAAGGAGAAGGCAAUCUAUUAUCUCAGUAAGAAGUUCACUGACUAUGAGAUAAGAUAUUCACCAAUUGAAAAGUUAUGUUGUGCUCUGAUUUGGACAAAUCGGGGGUUAAGACAGUACAUGCUAUACCAUACCACUUGGCUCAUCUCAAAGCUUGAUCCAUUGAAAUAUAUGAUGGAGUCAACGGCUCUGAAUGGAAGAAUGGCGAGAUGGCAAAUCUUGCUUUCAAAAUUUGAUAUAAUCUACAUAAGUCAGAAGGCUAUAAAAGGAAGUGCGGUAGCAGAUUUCUUUGCCAGUAGGGCUCUAGAGGAUUAUGAGUCAUUGAACUUCGAUUUUCCAAAUGAGGAGUUGAUGUGUAUAGCAAUGACUGAAAAUUCUUCUUGGAGGCUCAAUUUUGAUGGGGCUUCUAAUGCAGUCGGAAAUGGAAUUGGGGCAGUCUUGGUAUCUCCGAAUGGCGACCAUUAUCCUUUUAUGUGCAAGUUGGACUUUGAUUGCACAAACAAUAUGGCAUAAUAUGAAGCAUGCAUCAUGGGACUUCAAGCAGCUAUAGAGCGAGGAAUAAAAACCCUAGAAGUAUAUGGGGAUUCGGCGUUGGUUAUUUAUCAGCUUAGAGGUGAAUGGGAAACAAGAGACCCUAAAUUGAUCAAUUAUCAAAAGGUAGUUUUGGGGUUACUUGAGGAGUUUGAUGACAUCACCUUCAAUUAUCUCCCACGAGACGAAAAUCAGAUGGUAGAUGCUUUAGCAACCUUGGCCUCAAUGAUUAAGGCGAAUAAAGAAGAAGAGAUAAGACCAAUUCAAAUGAGUGUCUACGAGGCUCCAGCACAUUGUUGCAACAUUGAGAAGGAAGAAGAUGAUGAUAACCCUUGGUAUCAAGAUAUAUUACGAUAUGUGAGGGAUCAUAAAUACCCUGAACAAGCCAAUAAAAAUGACAAACGAACAUUGAGAAGGCUAGCUUGCGACUAUGUCUUGGACGGGGAUAUCCUGUACAAGAGAAGGAAAGACCAGGUACUUUUGAGAUGUGUUGAUGCUAUGGAAGCUAAGCUAAUUUUAGAAGAAGUUUAUGAAGGCGUAUGCGGGACACGUGCAAAUGGGUUUACGAUGGCUAGACAAAUCAUGAGAUUUGGAUAUUAUUUGUCUACCAUGGAAGGGGAUUGUAUCAACUACGCCAAGAAAUGUCAUAAAUGUCAGAUUUAUGGAGGCAAGAAACAUGUACCACCUUCACCUCUACAUGUUAUGACUUCUCCAUAGCCCUUUUCCAUGUGGGGCAUGGAUGCCAUUGGACCAAUAUCACUGAGAGCUUCGAAUGGAAAUUGAUUUAUCUUUCUAGUAAUUGACUACUUCACAAAAUGGGUAGAGGCCACUUCUUACGCAAAUGUUACUAAGUCAGCUGUGAGUCGAUUUUUGAAGAAAGAGAUCAUUUGUCGUUAUGGGAUGCCUGAAAGGAUCAUAUCAGACAAUGCAUUGAACUUGAACAACAAAAUGAUAGCAGAAGUUUGCGACCAGUUCAAGAUUAAGCAUCACAAUUCUUCCCCUUAUCGUCCAAAAAUGAAUGGGGCAGUAGAAGCUGCCAACAAGAACAUUAAGAAAAUAGUGGGGAAGAUGACUGAGACCUAUAGAGAUUGGCAUGAGAAGUUACCGUUUGCACUCCUGGCUUAUCGAACAUCUAUCAGAACCUCUACUGGGGCAACUCCAUUCUCGUUAGUUUAUGGGAUGGAAGCAGUACUACCUAUUGAAGUAGAAAUACCUUCUCUUCGAAUUUUGACGGAAGUAAAGUUAGAUGAAGCUGAGUGGGUUCAAUCCCGGUAUGACCAGCUGAACUUGAUUGAGGAAAAGAGGCUAAAAGCCAUUCGACAUGGUCAGAUGUACCAGAAGCGAAUGAUGCGAGCUUAUGACAAGAAAGUUCAACCAAGAGAAUUCCAUGAGGGAGACCUUGUACUGAAAAAGAUCCUUCCUAUUCAAAAGGAUUUUAGAGGAAAAUGGAUGCCGAAUUGGGAAGGGCCGUAUGUCAUGAAGAAAGCUUUCUCCGGUGGUGCAUUGAUCUUAGCAGAAAUGGAUGGGAAAGGAUUACCUAAUCCAAUGAACUCGGACUCAGUUAAAAAAUACUCUGUCUAAAGAAGAAGAGAAUCUAAGGUGAAAACCAGCAAAGGGCGCCUUGAAAAAAAAUCAAAAACGGAGAGGCCAAGGUGAAAACUCUCAAAGGGCACCUUAUGACCAAAAGGGUUUUGAGUUGAAAACCUGAAAGGGCAGCUCAAAUUUUGAAAAGUACACAGUGAUCUUGUUACAAAGAGCGAAGAAUGCUACAAACUAGGGCAUCAACAGAGUACUUGAGAUCUUUCAAACACAUUUUGAACUCAAGAAAGACUUCAUGGAGCUGGUGUAUAGGCACUCAAGCGGUGAUAUCUAGAGGAUCUAACUUCUAUCUUGUUUUCCAUCUUUAGAUUCUAUUCCUUCCUAAAGAUAGGCCUUCAGAUUAAUUUCCUUUGUAUUCUUUCUUCUUAAUUCAUUCAAAUCCAAUUAUUCUUAAAGAUUUAUCAUCUUUCAUGUUGCAUUGAAAUAAUGAUAGAUGAACUAAAUAUGUUUACAAACGAAGUUUUACGCAUUACUCUAAAAUUUCUAGACAAUACAAGAAACUAAAACAGGACAAUUGUUCGAGAAAUUCACGUAAGAAAGGAUGAAGGAACUCAAGGAAUUUCUUUCGUCCAGUCUAAAGGGAAAAUGAACAAAAUCAAUGAUUCAAUUUUAAUAAAAGAUUGUUUUACAAACAUCCUCAGUGGAUCGUAGCAUUGGAGGAAGGGUACAAGCCUACAGGUUGAGCAAGAAUAAUGCUUUGAACAGACAAAUGAAGGGAUGAGUGGUGGCGUCUAGGAUUGGGGUCAUAUUCGUAAAAUUUUGCAUCAUAACAUGUUUAAUUAGGAACAUCUGACUCAUUUCGAUCAUGGCGUCCUAAUUAUCAGGCAUAAUCAUUCUACAGGAUAACGCGCAUUAAUCCCUUAAGCAGUAGGGUAAUAGGCUGCAGCAUAACAAAUCUGGCCUUCAGAUGUUAUACUGAAGCUGAUCCAAGAUGGUUUGGCAUCCUUGUGUUUACAAGGAGCAAAUCGAAGACAUAGCUGAUUUGGCUUUCACGUGAUUACGAUGAAGCAAAUCUAAGAUGAUUUGUCGUCUCUGUAUUGUCAGAGAACGAAUCGAAGUUUGGCAUCUUCACUUUGAUGGAGAGCAGACACAUAGCAGAUCUCGCCUUUGGAUGUUUAUGCUGAAGCGGAUCCAAGAUGGUUUGGCAUCCUUAUGUUUAUAAGGAGCAAAUCGAAGACAUAGCUGAUUUGGCUUUCACGUGAUUAUGAUGAAGCAAAUCUAAGAUGAUUUAUCAUCUCUAUAUUGUCAAAGAAUGAAUCGAAGUUUGGCAUCUUCACUUUGAUGGAGAGCAGACACAUAGCAAAUCUCGCCUUCGGCUGUUUAUGCUGAAGCGGAUCCAAGAUGGUUUGGAAUCCUUGUGUUUACAAGGAACAAAUCGAAGACAUAGCUGAUUUGGUUUUCACGUGUUUACGUUGAAACAAAUCUAAGAUGAUUUGUCGUCUCUGUAUUGUCAGAGAACAAAUCGAAGUCUGGCAUCUCCAUUUCAAUGGAAAGCAGAUACAUAGCAGAUCUGAUCUUCAGAUGUUUAUACUGAAGCAAGAUCCAAGAUGAUUUGGCAUCCUUGUGCUUACAAGGAACAAAUCGAAGACAUAGCAGAUUUGACUUUCGGAUGUUCCCACACCAAAGCAGAUCCAAGAUAACAGAUCUGGCAUCUCCAUUUCGACGGAGAGCAGAUCGAAGAGAUCAGCAUGGCAUCCCUGUGCUUAUAGGGAACAAGUUGGAAAUAGCAGAUUUGGCAUCCCUGUGUUUAUAAGGAACAAAUCGAAGAUAGCAGGUCUGACAUUCAUGUGCUUACAGUGAAGCAGAUCGAAGAUUUCAGCAUGGCAUCCCUGUGAACAGAUCAAAGAACUCAAAACUCGGCAAGCCCGAGAAAAAUUGGGUCUUUUUAGUCUUUGCUCUAUUCCUGUUAACACAGCAAUAAGCAAAGAGGGGCAGCUGUAGAACCCAUAUUUUGCCCGAGCCUUAAAAUAAAUAAACCAAAUUUUGAAAAAAAAUCAAAAUGUCCAUUUAUACAGUCCUUUUACAGAUCAAAAUACAAACCAGAUCAGCCCAUUAACCCAAUACCGAAGCCCAAGUCAAAAUCCUAGCCCAACUAUCUCAAAACUUUUCAACAAUUCAAACUCUAACUCCACAAGCCUUACGCUGCUGCCUCCAUGUGCUGGCCUCAAGGUGCACAACACCCGAAACAGGUGUCCCAUACCAUCGCCCAUACCUUCUUCCCUCCACGCCUCUGACCACACCUGCAAAAGAAAAGACAAACAAGGAGUAGAAAACCGAAACAAGACACGAACAGUGGUAGAGACAAAGAAAAACAAUAUUUUUCUACUAUUGUAAUCGGCUAUAAAGCCAAGAAGAAGUCAAAACGAAGGAGGGGGACGGAUUGUAAAAAAGACUUUUUUCUUACAAAAAGAAAGAAUGUGACACAGAUAUUAGGAAUCACAACGCAUACAAGCAAAUCAAAAAGUUUGGAAACU